GCGGGGGGAUACUAACUUCCGGGGAGGCCUGCUCUGCGUUCCGAGCGCCGCCGCUGGGGCGGGCGGCUGUGCGAGCCCCCGCGAGGCGGGCCGCUGCGGGAGCUCGGGCCCCCGCUCCGGGUCUCGAGAUCUGGGGGAGAUGACGUGGAACUUGCGUGGGAAAGUCAGCGUGCCUUGACAGACGUCUUGGGAAGUGGGAGGACCUUGGGAGGGAGAUUCGUGCAGAGGCAGGGAAGGAGCUAAGGAGGCCGGGGCGCUGCCUGACUGAGUCCACGGGCAAAUCCAAGGUGGAAACGGGGCGAGAGGAGAGUUACCGAGCAGGAGGACGCGGCCUGGGGCCUCGGCGGAAGGGACUUUAACAGACUGAGCUCCGGAACCGCUCAUGACCCCUACGCUGCAAUGGCACCGCGCACCGGGUUUCAGAUGAAAGACUGCCAGGCGUGGUGGCCUUGCCUCUCGUUCCCGCACUUGGGAGGGCCUAGGCAGGAGGUCGUUUGAGACCAGCCUGGGCAACAGGGAGAGUAGAUACUAAAGUCUGGAAGAAAUAGGUUUGAAAGUUCGGAAUUAGGAUUUAUAUCCCUCACCUGCAUUUGAGAUCUAACAGUUGAUGAGUAACACACAAAAGUGCCUCACUGAAAGUGGACAGAAUAUUUGAAAACCUAAUUCACAUUUAAAAAAAUAUUGUGCCAUGAUCAAAACAGGUAAAAAGAUGUACAUUACAUAUUAAGAGAAACACACACAAUGCAGUUCUUGGUUUUGUGUGGAUAAAACUCAAUAUGCUUUUGGUAUUUGUGCUGAAAAGUGUGACGCGGUGGGUGAAACUACCAAAUACUCUGACCUUUUUAGAAAGUAAUCAGAAAGACUAUGAAGAUUGAAAAUGCACAGGCCUGGGCUGGGUGGAUCCUUGGCAGAGGGUGUGGAUGUGCAAGGCCCUGGGUUUUGUCCCCUGCACUAAUUAAGAUGCACAGACCCUUUGACUUUUAGACAGCCUUCAGAAAUCAAGCCACCAGAACUGACAAUGUAGGUACAAAGACUUGUCUACAAACUCUUCUCAAAAGCCAAGCAUAGCCAUCAUCUCAGUGUCCAUCAAGAGAGAAUGGGUGAUUGAAUCAAAAUGUAUCCAUACCAUGGAAGUGUAGAUGUUCCUAAUGAGAAAAAAAAUUUGUCCAUAAGUAACUAGAAAGUUAUCCAUGUUAUAUUUUGGAGAAAACAAAAAAGGAAGGUACAGAUGAAUGCCUGUGUGUAACUUAAUCUCUCAGUGUGAGUGACUAUGUGUUCCAUACAGGAGGACACCUGUGGCUGCACCCACCCUCCGUGCUGAGUGGCCUCAGGAAGGAAGGUGAGGGGGUUGCACCUUACAUACCACUGCUGUGCUUGAUGUUCACGAGUGUGUGUGACGAAUACAAGUAAGAAUCAGGCACUGGGUUCCCCCCCCCCCCAAGUAAAUAUCCACCUGUGAUCCAGGGCGACUGGGUGGGAAGAAGGGACCCAGCUGGGUGCUCUGACUCAUGGUGGGGAGACCUGAAAUGCUGGCACAUGUUUUAAUCACUCUGGGCCUUGGGGCCUCCAGAAGGUGCCGGAGCAGUUCACAGAAACUCGUGUGUGGGUCUUCCCUCUGCCAGGCAAGAGAGUACCCUCCCUCACCUGUCCUCCCUCUCUGUCCCUGUCUCUGGGCUGCUGCCCCUUGGUNGGCUGCUGUGUGCAGGGCGCUUCCCUGAGGGACCAGAGACAGUGCUCCCAGCCUGCUCAGCAGUCGGGCGGGUUCCCCAGUGAGCUGGGGGGGGGGGGCUGCGGGAGGGUGGAGGGGACUGUAGCUGAGAGGUGGGGGCUGUGAGCAGGGGUGUGUGUGUGCGUGUGUAUGCAUGCAUGCAUGUGUGUUGUGUGUGUGUACGUGUCUGUGAGGAUUUGAAUAAAUGAGUUUAUUUUAUUUGAAAUUAUAUUAAUUCUAGAUGAAAUUUGUUGUUUUUACAGGUUAGGAAUGCCAUAUCCAAACACUUGAAUGUUUAAAACAGAUGACAACUGUUUUUAACAUAGAUUUUUAAAAUUAUAAGCAUAAUACAUACAUACUUGUGCCCUGAGGGAAGGACAUCAGGAAGCAUGGAGCAUCUGACAUACUCACUAUUACAGACUGAGUCCUGCCUUGUCUGAAAUGGUGUGUUGGAGUCUAACCCUCAGUAUCCCAAAUGUGCCCUUAUUUGGAGACAGGGUGAACAGAGGUAUCAAGAUGGAAUUAGGUCAUUAGGGUUGGCCCUAAUCCAGCAUGACUGGUGGUCUAUGAAAGACAGAUUUGACACAGAGACAUCACAUACAGAGAGAAGAUGGUGUGAAGAGACACAGGGAGAACAGGGCCCUGAGGAGCCUUGAGGUACAGGGUCAUGGAAGUGUAGCUGCUCCCUCUGGUGCAGCCUUCCCUCAGACCCUCAGAAGGAACCGCCCCGGUGAAGGCUCGACUUUGAGCUUCCGGUCUCAGAGGUUGAGCCGUACCUACCCACUGCUUUAAGCCACACUGUGGGUGGUACUUUGUGACUGCAGCCUUAGCAACGUGAUACAUAUUUUGAUACAAGGAAAUGGGUGGGGUGGGGACUGCUCUAACAACCACCUAUAAACAUGGAAAUGGCUUUGGAAUUGGGUAAUGGAGAGAAGCUGGAAGAAUUGAGAACCAUGGCAGAUAAAGCCCAGGUUAUCAAAAGACACUGUUGGUAAAACAUUAAUGGAGGUCCCCGUGAGCCCUGACCCAGAAAGAUUAGGCCUGCAGGGGAGGACACCUCAGCUAAGAGAGUGCACAGCCUCAGGGACACAGUGGUGCUAGACCAGAGGGCAGAUGGCUCUUCCUGGAAGGUCUGAAGUGGGAGGAGAUGAGGAGGCCACCAGAACCCCAGGACCCACCCAGAAAAUGGGCUACAGAGUUACCAGCUUGAACAUGUCAUCCAUGAAGGAGCAAGAGGUGUGGCAGUGGGGUAGACCGCAGGGACCCGUGGUACAGUGUGAGGGAGCACGUGUCUCUGUGGCAGCACAGAGCCCACAGGGAGGCUGCAGGAGGGCCUUUUGUGGUAAAGUGUGAGUGAGUAGCCGUUCCUGUCAGCUUCCCUGCACUAGACACAUCUCAUGGUGGAGGCGUGUCUCCAUCUACCCUGAUGUGUAGAGACCCCUUGCGUCUUGGGCUGUGGACUGACUCCAGUAAGCUCUAACUCACCCGUGUGUAGACGUAGAGGUGCUCGUGCCGCUCUCCUUUUCCUGUGAGGGUACAUGAACAUUCAUCGGUGAGUUUUCGGCCCUGAGACUCUGUCCCCACAGCCAGCUCCUCUCUUACUCGUUUGGGGAGGGCAGCAGAGCUGCCUUGGGAGGACUGCUCUUGGGGAGAGCAUCCUCCCUCAACCACGUUACGAGAGCAUGUGUUUUCCUUCCCCUGGGUGGAAGCAGGCACUGGCGCUGGUUGAGUGAUGGGUGUUUAUGAAACCUUUCUUUAUUCCAUAUCUUGCUCUGUUGCCCAGGGUGUCCUUGAACUUCGUGCCCCAUCCUGACUGUGUGCCACCGUGUACCACCAUCUUGAUGUAUCUCGUGAAGAGAGCCGGCUGAUUUUUGGGGGUGUGCGCACUCCCCGGCCUCCCACUGGCCACGCUGACCUCAGGCUUCCCUCUGGUGCGGCCUUCCGUGGCGUGGGGCUCUGUGUUUCCAGCCUGCCGAGGCCAUCAUGCAGCUUUCUGUGCUCAUGUGCCAUCCGUAUCCCCCUGGGUGAAGAACUUGUGAUCAUUAGCCAACUGUCACCUGCAUCUUUUUUCUUAGACUCCAGCUCUGUAGCUCUUAGUGAGUCCUGGGUACGACAUGUGAUGUGGAAAUACUUUGUGCAUGUCUCCUGGGAAUCAAAUAUUUUAAUAAAGCCCGUUUGUCAGUUUUUCUCAGUAGACUUCGAUUUUGGUGUUACAUUGAU
rnacentral:lncRNA from 1 species